UUAUUCAUUCAAGAUUUACAAAAUUACAAUCUGCCCAGGCUGGAGUCAAAGCUGAAGAAAAGUUUCUCAGGGAAGCAAAAGCAACAGCCCAAUGUCUGGCAUUCAUUGCUAAAAUGUGAGCCAGUUCCGAAGACUUUCAGAAAGUCCUGAGGGGCAACAGAUGGUGGCGGGGGAGCGGGGGGAACAGGGAGAGGGAGGGAAUUUCAAAAUCAACAGUAGUGUUUCAGAUAGCGUUGGGGGAAGCACACUGCUGGGCCAGAGUGAUGUUCACAGGAGUGCAGGACGUUCCUAAAGACUUUAACUUCGGGUGUUUGGACAUUUUCUUUUGUUCAGGAGUGGGGUUGUUGGAUCGCCAAAUGAACUCAUCUUUUGAGACAUUCACGUUUUGUACAGUGGUCUCUUUAUUUUAUACUCUCAUUAACAACGGGAUGAUAGGAGGCAUGGGACGGGAGUGGAGAAGGGGGAAAUUGUGAUGUGUAUGAAGUUACGGGAAUGAGUAAGUUCUAGAGCUCCCCUGUGGCCUGACGUGCAGCACUGUGCACUUUAAAAAUGAUCUCCUGUCAAGCGUUGGUACCUUAAGACAAUGAAGCAAAGCAGAAAGAUACUAGGGAAGUUCAGGAGGUUAUGGAUUGCAAUACCAUGUGGGCAAAGGGCACAUGUGUGCAGUAAAGAGAUUUGAUUUUGUGUGAGCAUGUGCAAGCAUAUGCAGGCAGGUUUCCUGGUUUGUUGUUUUGUAUUUGUAUAUGAGACGCAGGCGUGCAAUGAAAGGGGCAAGAGAUGGUAAUGGGAGAUGUUAAUCAUCAGCCUUGCCUCUAAGAGUGGGACUCGGGUGCAAGGCAUUCAGACAUUGGUAGCAAAGAGCUAACUUGAAGCAGUGUAACUUUCUACAGAAAGAACAAUCUGAGGAUGAUGAGAAACCUGGGCCUCCUCGUCCACCAUUUCCCUAAGAGACGCGGUGAGACUUUUUCUAACUGCUUGCUUGGACUCUGCUGGUUUAAGGUCCUCGUGAGAGGCAGAACGGUCCUUUCCCCAUGGACUCCUCCCCCAUGGACUCUCCAGGUGUUCGAUGUCAGCUCAGCAGACAUUUGAGACUGUGUACACACCUUCCUGCCUACAAAUUCAGAUCCUGACAGCAUGGACCCCCCCCCCAGAUAAGAAAACAAUAAUUUAUGAUAACAGGGGCCAGUUUAUGUAAAAAACCUGUUAGAAAGAUCAUCUUUUGCAAGAUGCCUUACAUGAAUAAAUGGGAUUUUUGAAACCAGACUUAUAAACAUUGGCUUUCAUUUGUGUAAUGCUUUUCUCCAACAGGGACGGACGGUGCCUCGCCUGAAAAGCUCUGUGGUCAGCUGGAGUCAACAGACUCUGUUUAUUUAUUUUAUUUAUUUAUUUUUUUUUUUGAGCCAGGGUUUCUCUGUAGCUUUUUGGUUCCUGUCCUGGAACUAGCUCUUGUAGACCAGGCUGGCCUCGAACUCACAGAGAUCCGCCCGCCUCUGCCUCCCGAGUGCUGGGAUUAAAGGCGUGCACCACCACUGUUUAUUAUGCCCUUCUCGUUAGUUCUCUGCAUGGAAGGUAAACGCAGGCUAGAGAGGAAGACGAUCUGACUCCAGCUCCUACAUCAAGAGGCUCACAGCCACUGUAACCCCAGUUCUGGGAGAAUCUGACCCCUCUGGCUUCUGCAGGCCCCUUCACUUGUGGUGCACCUAUCCACACAAGCCACACAAUUGAGAAUAAUACAAACGUAAAAUAAAAAGAACACAAAAGAAAUAUCCACGUGCUGUUUUCAAUGUCUUUAUCCUUUGCCUUUCCGAAAAAGACACAACCAACGAUUGUUCUGAGUUUUAGUGGGUAUAAUGUAACAAAGAGGAUUGCAACAACAUACAGUAAAAAAUGUCACACA